ACCCGACCCCGUAGACCCAGCCACCCUAGAGAUUAAGACCCGUAGCAUAGAACAGACACUACUCCCACUAGUGAAACAGGCACGUCUUCGACAGAAGAAACGAAAUUGAGUUUCAUACAUAGAUAUAAUGGGCUCAUCGAUGAUACAAAAUGGUGCCUCCGAUCGUAACUUGUUGCGGAUUAUGUUUCCCUUCGGCACAUAAAACACAUACCGCAUUUGACAUGCUUGUAGUUUUUUUUUAUGAAUCUCCGUAAAAUAUCUACUGAAUUUGAUAUGGAGAUGGAAGAUCCUGUAAAAAUGAAACCCAUUCGAUGAACGAAGCAAAGUCUUCCAGAUCAAUGCAAGAUGAAAAGGACCGGCUUUAUUAGGGAUUUAAGAUGAGCAAGUUUUAGUAAAUUACAGGAUUUACAGAUAUCAACUCUUACUGAAUAAAAUUUCUACAUAUGUACCAUA